rnacentral:misc_RNA from 1 species
CCGAGUGAGGGCCCUCUGGGUCCAACCUCCCACCCGUGUUUAACGAACCCUGUUGCUUCGGCGGGCCCGCCUCACGGCCGCCGGGGGGCUCUCUGCCCCCGGGCCCGCGCCCGCCGAAGACCCCUGUGAACGCUGUCUGAAGUUGCAGUCUGAGAAACUAGCUAAAUUAGUUA